UUUUAUUAAUUAUUCACACAAGACCUUAGAAAGUCAAACUCCCUCCGUCCCGAAAGACACGUCGCAGGCGUAGUUCAUUGACAAUUUUAUAAAAAAGCCCUUGUAGUUUCGGAAUAAUAGCAAACAAGUCCCUCCACCCCUGUCUUCUUCCUCCGCCGUCGCCCGUGCGUCUCCAGGGGCCGGCGCCGCCAAGCUGCGUGAUUGCCGCCCACAAGGAAGUGUUCCGCCUCCGCCGCCAAGUACCUUCAACGCCGCCGCCGUCGCCAAGUACUUGCUCCGCCACCGCCGCCCAGACCUGCGCCGCCGCGAUCCCCUCCCGCGGCGAUUACCUGCGGGCGUCGCCGGAAUUUGACACUACGAUCCGGUGGAGCAGGAGCUCCUUCUCAUCGUCCUCGAGCUCCCGCGAGUCCACCUUGAGCUGCCUCCCGUGCGCCACCGCGAUCCAACUACGGGCAUCGCCAGAGCCGGCCUCCACGAUCCGGUGGACAGCAGCUCGCGCGCGCCCUCCGUGGUCUCCCGCGAGUCCUCGUCGAGCUCCCAUGCGCAGCCGUCGUGCUCCUUCUCUGCCUGCGUGCCCACCGGUGGUGCUAGCCCGUGUUGCUGCAUCUUGUUUCUCCUCUGUUUCUCCCCUGCCGCCGGUGGUGCUGCUUCUGCUCCUCUUCCCGUGUUGAUGCUACGACUCCUCUGCCUGUGCUGCUGUUGUUGCUGUUGACUGCCGCCGUGACUGCUGCUGCUGGUGCUAUUUGCCCUCUGAAGAAGUUACUCCAUCAGAGUACUGCUAGCUGAAGAAGGUUCUAGAACUAUCUAGCGAGUAAGGAACUAACCGGUGGAGCUCCUACCCGUACUGCUGCUGCUCGUCUACCCGUACUGCUGCUGCUCGUGUGCCCGUGCUGCCGCCAGAGAUACAUUCAUCAGGAAGAAGGAGUAUGGAUUUGAACAUGAUGCCUCAAGAGGAAGACGAUGAAGGUAUUAAUUUGAAUUUGAUGCCUCAAGAGGAGGAACCUCAAGUGGCAGAGAAUGUAGCUAUGGAUUUGAACUUGAUGCCUCAAGAAGAAGAUGAUGAAGAUAUGAAUUGGAUGCCUCAAGAAGAUGAAGGGAAAGAGGAUGAAGCUCAAGAGGAAGAGGAUGAAGUUAUGAAUUGGAUACUUCAAGAGAAGAGAAGAGAAUUGUCAGAUAAGGAGAGGCAUGGUGUUUACUUCGCCUUGCUGGUAAUCGAGCUCAGAGAUGGGUCUGUUCAACCAGACGACAAGCUGCUAGUCUCAAACCUGUUGGACAUAAGUGUACGAUCUAUUGAAAGAAUCUGGGAAGACGCCAAAAAGCAAAUUGCCGAUGGCAAAGAAGUAGAUGUCUCAAGCAAGAAGCCGGGAAGAUCUGGCCGAAAGAGAAAGGAGCUAGAUCUAGAGAGGACUUCAACAAUCCCACUGAAUAAAAGAAAAACAAUUCGAUCUCUGGCACGGUCUCUAGGUGUGGCCCGAUCGACCCUACAUAAGAGGUUCCAGUUGAAUGAGCUCAACCGCAUCACAAGCACCGUGAAGCCUCACCUCAAGCUAGAGAACAAGCUUGCGAGAUUGAAAUUUUGUAUGUCCAUGGUCGAUGACAAUUCGAUCUCAACUUCUCGGGCUAUGUUCAAACCAAUGAUGAAUAUGGUUCACAUCGAUGAGAAGUGGUUUGACAUGACAAGAGUGAAGAAUAGUUACUAUGUACUUCCAGGAGAACCUGAACCAAAGUGCACUGUGUCAAACACUCGCAGCAUUGGGAAGGUAAUGUUCCUAACAGCUGUUGCCAGGCCUUGAUAUAACAAUGAGGGGGAGCUAACAUUCAAUGGGAAGAUCGGCAUUUGGGCAUUCGUCGAAGAGACUGAGGCGAAGCGAACAAGUCAUAACAGAACAAAGGGAACAAAAGUGUUGACAUCAGUGAAAGUAACCAGACCUGUGUGCAGAGAUUAUCUAAUCAAUAAGGUUAUCCCGGCAAUUCAGGAUAAGUGGCCUGACGAUGAUGAGGGAGCAACAAUAUUCAUCCAACAAGAUAACGCAAAAGCCUCAUGUCCUUCCCAAUGAUGUAUCUUUUUGAGAAGCUGUGGAACAAACAGAUGUUGACAUCCGAGUGCUACAACAGCCCCCAAAUAGCCCUGAGUUAAAUUGUUUGGACCUCUGCUUCCAUAACUCUCUCCAGUCUCUAACCGACUGCAAGUCACCUACAAACAUCUAGGAACUGGUACAGGGUGUGGAAGAGGAAUUCGAGAACUACGAUCCCGACAAGUUGCACAGAAGCUUUAUCACAUUAGAAGCAGUUAUGUUUGAAGUUAUGAAAGACAAAGGAGGAAAUCAAUAUAAGUUGCCCCACUGGCACAAGGACCGCGUUUAGAAUGCUGGAAUGGAAAUAACUGGUGUAUAUUGCGACAGUCGGGUAGUUGUUGAUACUAGGGACGUUAUAGAAGAAAUGGAAAUUGCAAUAGGAAAAGAAAAUGAAAGGAAAGAAUUAGCUAGAGAAGGGAAAAGAAAGAAAAGUAAAGGGAAGGAAAGGGAAGAAGUGGACAGAGAAAGGAAAAGAAUGUAGUUAAGAGGGGACAAAGAGGCCCUUAUGUCAUGUAGUCAGGUGCUCCUUGUGUAUGUCUUGUGUAAUCUUGUGUCAAGAGGGGACAAAGAUGCCCUUAUGGCAUGUCCUUGUGUAUGCAUUGUCUAAUCCUUGUAUAUCAACUCCUUGUUGGAAUUUAUUGGAAUU